AAACAAGGACCUCGCGUGUGGGUACCGAGAGGAGCGCAGGUCAGCGCUGCCACCCCGACACAGCACCUGCUAUUCCCUGAACACCCGUUCGGGCGGGCGGGGAGGGCGCGGACGGCCCGGAGCACCAGAGGGGUCCCCGCCUCUGCCCUGAGACGGACUCGGGGUCCGGAAGCACCGGCGGGGCCAGGGCGCCUCACUCCCUGGGGCGGCCCAGCGGGGUCUGUACACAGGGGUUCACAUACAGAGCAGUUCUAGAGGGGGCUGCGGUGGCGCGGCCACUAGGGUGAUGCGGCGGUGGGCGCGGGGCCGGGGCCACCCAGGGCCGCCAGCGGGGUCCGCGCGCCCGCCUCGCCCGCAGCCUCAGGCAGCGACUCCUCCGAGUCGGUGCGCAGGUCCUCGUCGUCGUCAUCAUCAUCAUCAUCCUCGUCGUCGUCGUCCUCUUCAUCGUCAUCCUCGUCGUCCUCCUCGGCCUCCUCCUCCGGCAUCUCCAGCUCCUCCUCGUCGUCCUCUUGGGAGGACUCCCCAGCGGCGCUGCUGGUGGUGGUGGUGGUGGUGGUGGUGGUGGUGGUGGCCGCGGCGGCGGCAACCGGGGCGGGCGCAGCAGGGGCGUCCCGAGUCCCGGGGGCGGUGACAGGUGGGCCGGGGUCCCCCGUGUCCCCGAGCAGGCCUAGGCCGGCGGCCGC
rnacentral:lncRNA from 1 species